rnacentral:rRNA from 1 species
UACGAAGGGGGCUAGCGUUGCUCGGAAUCACUGGGCGUAAAGGGUGCGUAGGCGGGUCUUUAAGUCAGGGGUGAAAUCCUGGAGCUCAACUCCAGAACUGCCUUUGAUACUGAAGAUCUUGAGUUCGGGAGAGGUGAGUGGAACUGCGAGUGUAGAGGUGAAAUUCGUAGAUAUUCGCAAGAACACCAGUGGCGAAGGCGGCUCACUGGCCCGAGACUGACGCUGAGGCGCGAAAGCGUGGGGAGCAAACAGG